UAUUUAACAACUCGUGUGACAUGGGCAC
rnacentral:piRNA from 1 species